rnacentral:lncRNA from 1 species
GGCUCAUAUAAGGGAAACAAAAUGAUGUGUCACAUUUGAAAAAGACAGAUGUUACAUGAGUGCAAAGAGGACUUAAAAAAAAAAAAAAGGAGUCUAGACAUUGAAAGCCCAAAGAUUUGGACUUUUGCUUUCAUAUCUGUAGUCAAGUCAGCAGGAAGGCCUUUAAGUAUGUGAGUGAUGUGGUUCUGAAGACUGUGUGGUGGCUGGAAAACCAUAAGGCUGCAUUUCAUGGUGAAAAUAAUAAUGAUUGUUAACAUUUACCGGGCUUCUACUGUUCUCUGGGCACUGUUACAAGUGCUUUACAAUAUACAGUCCUGUAUAUUAGUUAUUCUUACUCCAUUUUAUUUCAGAGGAGUACAAGAUAAUAAAAUGUUAAGAAACUCUUCAAGCUCAUAAAGAUUGCAAGUAAUGUUGCUGGGAUUCAAAUGCAGACUCUUUUUCUUAGACCCACAUGGCAUCACUAAAUUAUAAGACCUUCUGAAAUGAAUAGGCCUCAGCAAAGGAGAAUAACCUUAGGAAAGAUGUGGAAAAACAAGAUAGAGGAUAUAACCUUGGAUUGGCAAGGUUUUGAAUUUCUAACAUGUGGAACUAUGGUGGCAAGAUCCAGGUCAAUGAAAGAAUUGGAGAUAGUGUUAAAUCUAGAACUUGGACCAUUGAAUGGGUUGUAUCAGAAGACCCCAACCUCAUGAAGUAAGGAGGAAUAAGGACAUGGAUAAGCUAUCAAGCAGGCUGGCCUGCAAUAGCUCUGUGGUUGCAAAAAGUAGACAGCGAGACUCAAUGAAUCUGAAUAAGGUGAGAUACUGGUCACUGCACUGCAGAGCGAACAGCCAGACCAUGAGCGUGGUAGCACCAGUCCUCCACCCCAAGGCCCACACAGGGAUGUGAUGGUCCCAGAGUCUAGGUACACACUCAGUGGGCUGCACUAAAGCUUCAGAACCCACGGCCAUGACCCAAAACAUUUGGUAGCAAGCUGUAAACAGGAUAGUCCCAAGUCUCCAGGUACUAAGUGGUAUUAAGUGGCCAAUUAACUGCCUACAGGACCAGCAACAGUAAUGGCUCAGGGUCAGAGGACAAUUAGGACUCGAGGUUUGGCAUUCCGAGCAAGAACAGGCAAAGACAUCAGGGCCAUCACAGGCAGCCUCUCCUAACAGGUAGUGAUGACCUUGGUCAAGAUAAUAACUAUACAUAGUGCACAGUUUAAAAAAAAAUAAAUAACCUCAGUAUAUACGAGAAUGUGUUGAAUUUGAGAUGCCGUUAGAACAUCCAGAGAGAGCUACCUUCCUAUAACCAGUGAGAGGAGUUGAGGGUGAAGACAAACAUACAAGAAUUAUCACUAAGUAGUAUAAGCUCCAGUGAAGGAAAAAAGUAAAUGAAUUUUUUUUUCUCUUUACUUAAUUAAAACCAUGGGGAACUGAAUCCAAAUUUAUCUUCUUCCUUCAUGCAUUUCCUGUUUACCCUUCAAGGUCCAACUCAAACAUGACCUCCAGCAGUUCUUAGGACAGUGUUGCCACUCACAAUUUUAAGGGUCAGCAGGCUAACUGACAUAUUGAAAGCCUCAGUAAAACAAAAUAUGAUUUUUUAUGAAAUGUGUUCCAAGAUCAUUCCAUUCCCUCAUCUCAGUUCCUGCAGAACUUGCUAUCUUGACCACUUAUUAGGUCCUAUGUGUAUAAAACCUUUUGCAACUCAUUUUUUUAUUUAUGUUUUACUGGCUUGGAAGAUAUUUAAGGAAAAGGGCUACUAAGUAAACAUCUUUGUAUUCCCCACACUUCUAGCAAACUGCCUUAUCCAAGAUUAGCACUUCAUUUUUGACACAAACAGGCAGAAGCACAAUAAAUAUUUUGUGUUUGUAUCUAUGUUCCCAAAAGAGGAAAAUGUCAAAGAAAUAGCUUUCAUAUUUGAACAUAUAGUAUAUGUCCAUCACAAUAUUCCUCUCAUUAUCUACAUCUUCUCAUUUAAAAAUAUUUAAUCACAGCAAACCAGAAAGACUGGCAUUAUUAUCCCCUUUAAACAGACGAUGAAACUGGAACUCAGAAUAUGCCAUUUGUCUAGAAAUAUAAAGACAGUGAAUAGGAACUGCAUUUUAUGCCCCAUAUACCAGAUUCCAAACCCCAUGUUAAACACAAGUGUUAACAUGUUCAUUUUUUUUUAUGCUGCUUCUUUCUUUUAUAAAGACAUAUUUCUUACCAUCGUUAUUUCUAGCAUCUGGGUUUUUGGAACAAGCCUAUCCUUUUGAAGGCCAGCAGCUUUCCAGAUCACAGCCAGUGAGCAAGCCUGGGAUGCAGCCAAAAAUUAAGGAAUUGGACACCACAGGUGUUACGGAAGUUCCAAUUCUUGGUCAGCCUAACUCACCCUACCCAGUGAGGCACAGCUGCAUCUGCUCUCAGAAUAGGAAGGGACUGAGGCUGGUGAAGGCAAAUUCACCGUGCUGCCUCCUCUUGACAGUAGCAAUAUCAGGGACCUUCCCAACUCAUGCUCAUAUCAAGACAAGAUUAGUGGUAGUGGUCAAUGACCAACCAAGUCUUCAUAAACCCCCAUCACUGAAUGGAAGUCUUUGUCUCAGACAAUUGACCUUUUUAUAGCCUGCUGAGACUGUGUGCCUAACCUUUUAGACUGGGCUGCCACAUAUUUAUACAGGUUUCUUUGACAGCUCCAGAAGAUCCCCAGCAGCAUGAAGUCCUUUCAAUAAAACUUACUCAUCUCUAAUCUUUAUGUAUGUUUAUUUGAAUUUUAUAAAUACUUUAUUUCCUACCAGUAAUCAAUUAUGGGAGUUCUCUGGUGGCUCAGCAGGUUAAGGAUCUGGCAUCAUCACUGCUGUGGCGCUGGUUACAGCUGUGGCUUGGGUUCCGUCCGUGACCAGGGAACUUUCCCAUGCUGUGGGCAUGGCCAAAAAUGAUGUAUAAACAACUAAGUUCUAAGCAAACUAAUUCAUCUUCACCAAAAUCCUAUGAGAAACCCUGUGCCCCCAUUUUUCAGAUUAGAAAAGGGAAACUCGGGGUCUUGAAGCAACAUACCCAAACUCACUCUAACAGUGAGUGGCAUCACUUAGGAUGUGAACUCAGCUACUGUUAAUCCGAUUGCUUCUCUCCAGCAAAGCUCCCUGUCAAGUAACAGCCCUUUCCACUUGUUUAGUGCUUUCUCUCCAUGUAAAUGACUGACCUCAUCCUCACUGCAGCCCUAAUGAAUAAAGAAGGCAGGCAGUUCGCUCUUCUUUUAUAGAUGAAGAAACUGAGGCACAAAGAGUUAAACUGGAUGUUGAAAUUUAACAAGUGAGUGCCUGAGUCAAAACUGAAAGCUACUCUCCAGAGAGGCCCAUCGCUGCUCUUUCCAGUGCCUCACUAUAUGGCCAUUUAUUCAAGAAAGUUCCUUUUUAUAACUGUAUUUGACCUGUCACUGGGAAGAGAACAUGUGAGUUUUGAAAGGAACACAGUUGACUGAAAAAGGAGAGUAAAGAAUAUUUAGGCAGCACAAAGGCAAAGCUGAUGGAAGGAAGAUAGCCACAGUGAAGUGUCCUGGGUAGCCUCAAGCCCACCUCUCAAGGAGCAGCAGGUGGAUGGCAGGCCCCUGGCUGCAGGGUCUCUGCGGUGCAGCCAGGGAAGCCUAUAGCAAAACUUCAUAGCCAGACUUCAGCAUCCAGCAGAGAUGAACUAGAUUCAAGGCCUGACUUUGCCCAUUAAAGACUAUGACCCUGGGCUUUGACAGCUACCUGCCUUAGCUCAGUACCACUUUCUUCAUCUGAGAAAUGAGGACACAAUAAUGCCCACUUCUUGGAGAAUUUGGGGGGAGGAGGAGGCAAAUACAUAUGUCCUUCACUUACACAGUAUUUCCCACUAAAGAAGAUGAAAAGGCAGUGAGGGUUCACAUGCAAACAGAAGUGAUGAUGUGUGUGAGCUGGAAUGGAAAGGAAGUAUACAGGAGUUUGAAGUUGUUGACUUAAACAAAUGCACAACCUGAGAGUUAAGAGUUAAGUUUUAUUUGGGGCAAAAUUAGAACUUAAGCCUGGGAGACAGCAUCUCUGGUAGCCCUGAGAAACCACUCCAAGGCAGUGAGGGGGGAGCUAGGAUAUAUAGGAGUUUUUUCAACAAAGGGCAGGUAGCAGGAACAAAAGAGGCCUGGGCUCACUGAAAUCAUUCCUUUGAUAUGCACCUUCUCUAUCAGGGCCAGUAUCCUGAGUUUUCACAGUCUCCAGGACUCACCUGCUCUCACCGUUGCAGGUGACUGCAUUCACAGAUGACAGUGACAUUCUUUGUUUUAUCUUUAACUACAAACCAGGUGGCAGUAUUUCAGAGAGCCCUGAAAUACCACCCACAGAGGAAAAGGGGAACUAUCAGUAUAUGAUAAAGGUGAGGUGGAGGUGCAUGAGGCAUACACACAUUUUAAAAAAGUUUGUUGCUGAUCUCCUGAAGGGUUACUGAUAGUCACAAGAAGCAGACAUCAACAUGAAGGGUUUUUGUGUUUUUGUAGAUAUGAGGAGAUGCAAGAAUUAGGCUCAGAAAAUCUCCUAAAAUAUCUGACUAUCUGAAGACCUGUUCUUCCAAUUUUCCCAGAGCACAGAGUGCCUCACUCCUGACUUUGACCAUGAGCUCUGCUCAAAGGAUGCUGAGGGUCAGCAGUUGCAGUGGCUUAUAAUUUAAUCCAUGUAGAGGCUGAUGGCAAGUGCCAAACUUCAGUUCACAAAGUCUAGCUUUGUUUACUGCCUUGUUCCCAGAACUUAUUGUGAGUUUAAAAUAUCAAAUUUAAACAACUGCCUUUAAUCUUGCAUUGACACUGUCCAUGACAGUGUAGAAGGCAAUUUUAUAGAAAUUAAUCCCUCGAAUCUUUGACAGCUGUAAGCUAUCAAAGUGAGGCAGCUACUAAAGAGUGAAAACAGUCCCUACACUACCUAUGUUGUCUGCUCUGUGUGAGCCCCUCUAGACAGGGAGAGGUAAUAUACCCACGGAAUGAAUGAAAAGGGAGGCUUCAGAAGUUCUUUUUCAAACCAACAUGCCCAUAUUGGUGGGGUUUCCACAGCAAAGCCAUAGAAUCUGAACUUGAGAAAAAUGUUAGACGUCACCUAUCCCUCUCCCAUCCAAGUUGAGGCUCUCCUGUCAUGACUUCUGUAUUAAGGAUCUCCCCACUAUCUUAGGCAGGUCUUUCCUUUGAUGGAAAAAUUCUUUGCCUGUGCUCAACAGGUCUCCAGGCCCCAAUUCCCACAUUAACCUAUAAUGCUAACCUUAUUCUCUAUUCAUUUAAGCAAGAGGAAUCUGUCCCACCCAACAGGAUUUAUUUACUAACACUUAAAGACAUCUGUAUCUCCAAAUGCCACAUCCUGGUCAGUUCAUUCCUAGGUUUGGAAUGUCUUUCCCCUCCCUUUCAUCCAGGCCAAAUGUAUUCACCUUGUGAGGUAUAAAUUACGUUUUUUCCCAUAUGUGAUCCCUCCAUAGCACAUACUAAUCUUUCUUUUGAAUUUUAAGCAAGUGUUUUUUAUGCAGUUUGUUUGGCAAUUGAUCAUAGAGUUCUUUCGAUUGAUUAACAUAUACGCACGUCUUACUGUCCUAUUCAUACUGCCUCCUCCUUAAGAGAAAGAAAGGUCAUUUUUAUUUUUUGUCACCUACCUCAUACAGAUUGGCAUGUAGCACAUAUUAAGUUUUUGAUAAAUCUUUGUUGAACAAUACCUUUAAAUUUAAAAGGAGAAUAAUCUUUCCUGGCAUUGUGAUUGAUUUAGCACAGAAUUAGUGUCUCAUAUAGUUACUAAUGAUAGGGCUCAUUUAUUGGUCAUUCAUUAUUUGACAAUCACUGUUCUACAUGUUCUGCGGGGAUUAUCUGAUCACAUAAUUGCAAUAAUUCAACCUUUGACAAAACAAAGGAAGAGAGAAUUUGGCUAAAGUGCACAUCUCGUAAGAUGGUGAAAUUGAGUGUUGAUUCCAGAUGGUCUAACUUCAGAACCCACAUUUUUAACUAUUUCUGUAUAUUGCUCUCCAGUUCUUAGUUGACCCUGGGAUUCCAUAAAAUGCAGGAGGUUCUUGUAAAUGAGUUUUUGUUGUUGGUCAUAUGGCAAGAUGCCAUAAAAACCUAUUCUCACUUCAAAUUCCUGAAAAAUAAUUGUAUCUAAAUAGAAUAUUUCUAAUCCAGUUUAGCUUUUGUCAUAGCUAGGGUAAAAGGAAAAGUGACAUAAAACACAUCUGCUUUUAUACCUGCUUCCACCAUUUUACUCCAAAUACCCUUUCCAUAAUUAUACAUACAUCUUCCUUAUAAAACAUGCAAUACCCAAAUAUCCUGAGUGGAAUUUCCUUUUUCAUCAUAGUUCCCUUCUAGCCAUAAUAGGCCAGCUGGCAAAUAUAUCCAGAACAUGGAUAAAACAAAUAAUUUUUAUAUGUAAUAGAAAUGUCACUUGUCCUAUUAUCCCCUUAAGCAGCAGGAGAAAAAAGAAAAUGCAUGAAACACACAGAGAGAUAUCUAGAAAUAGAUAUCUAUUUCAUAUGAUUCUGCUUUUAAAAUGCAUAGUGCUUUUCUUUCUUCAUACAAAUGUUUCAGUUUCUAAGAAGUUUUUGUGUCCUGUGCCCAAGAUUUUUUUUUUUUAACCACUUGCAAGUUUUCGAUGUAGUGUUGGCUUAUUUGGAAUUCAGAGGCCUAUUUUUAAAAAUUAAGAAAGGGAAAGGAAGAAAGGCACGUUCUUCUGUUUUCCUCUGAAAGGUUAGGUUAAAGGCCGUGCCUGGCAUUAAUCAUUGUAGCUUUGCAGGAUCCCAGAGGAGUAGCCCUGUAAUCCAGCUUCUCAAUGGAUGCAGCCUGGAAAAGAGAGGUUCACAGACUUACCAAAGGCCCCCAAGCAAGACCAAGCUAGAAGGAGCUGUCCCAUGUCCUUUGUGUCAGUCUGCUGUGACAGCUCAGAGCUUGGAACCGAGAACUGAGGAAAUCUUUAUGAUUCUAAGAAUAACAGAGGGAGGGAAAAGGAAGGAGAGCUGGACUUGUGUGCUACCACUGUAGCGUACGUCACUGCCUUAGCUGCUUUGUCCCCUGCUCUCUGAAACAGUUUCCUGUGUCCUUCUUUUGGUCCUCAUUUUACCUGAGGCUUGUUUCAGAAAGGUCUCCUAUUACCAUCCCCAUUUCCUGCAAGAUUCUUCUCACCCUCCAUAUCUCAGCUCAGUCCCCGCUUUAUCCAUUCCUUCCUUCAGCCUAUUUUCUGCCACCUCAUCUACGUCAGUGGCUGUCCUAAACGCUGUGAGGUUCUGUCUCCAGAGCAGGAACAGAACCAAGUGUCAUCUCAUGGAGCUUACAUUAUAUUAUUCUAGGAGAAAGAAGUCAAUAAUCAAAUAUACAAAUGCAUAUGUACUCAUUCCAGGCUUCAGAAGCACUGUGAAGAAAAAGCAAGCUCAAUAAGGCAACAGAGAAGGGCAAGGAACGAGGGGUGCUAUUUUACUUAGGUUGCUCAGGAAAAGAUUCUUUAAUAAGGUGACAUUAGGGCUAAAACCUGCAGAAGGUAUGACAUGAUCCAGACCAAUAUUUGAGAGAAAAGUGGCAGAGGGAAAAGCAAUUUCACGAACAUGGGGGUGUGUAUGGUGGGAUUGAGACUGCAAGAAGGAAAACUGAGCUGGAACGGAGGGUGUGCUGAAGAGAUGUAAGAAAUUAGAGCAUUUAUGAGGGGAAGUUCCCAUCAUGGUCAGUGGUUAAUGAACCAUACUAGUAUCCAAGAGGAUGCAGGUUUGAUCCCCAGCCUCGCUCAGUGGGUUAAGGAUCCGGUGUUGCCGUGAGCUGUGAUGUAGGUCACAGACAUAGCUUGUAUCCUGCAUUGCUGUGGCUGUGGCAUAGGCCGGCAACUACAGCUCUGAUUCAUCCCUUCCCCUGGGAACCUCCACAUGCCAUGAGU